rnacentral:rRNA from 1 species
UACGAAGGGGGCUAGCGUUGUUCGGAAUUACUGGGCGUAAAGGGCGCGUAGGCGGUUGCUCAAGUCAGGCGUGAAAGCCCCGGGCUCAACCUGGGAAUUGCGCUUGAGACUGGGCGGCUUGAGUUCGGGAGAGGUGAGUGGAAUUCCCAGUGUAGAGGUGAAAUUCGUAGAUAUUGGGAAGAACACCGGUGGCGAAGGCGGCGACCUGGUCCGUGACUGACGCUGAGGCGCGAAAGCGUGGGGAGCAAACAGG